UACAGAGGGUGCAAGCGUUAAUCGGAAUUACUGGGCGUAAAGCGCAUGUAGGUGGUAAGACAAGUUUGAUGUGAAAGCCCUGGCUUAACCUGGGAACGGCGUUGAAUACUGUCUGACUAGAGUCGAAGAGAGGGUUGUGGAAUUCCGGUGUAGCGGUGAAAUGCGUAGAGAUCGGAAAGAACACCAGUGGCGAAGGCGGCAACCUGGCUUCAGACUGACACUGGAGGUGCGAAAGCGUGGGAGCAAACAGG
rnacentral:rRNA from 1 species